UCUUUUUGUUUAUAUUUAAAGUCUAGCCUGCUCACUGUAUAAUUAAUAGCUGCAGUAUUUUGACUGUACUAAGGUAGCAUAAUCAUUAGUUUUUUAAUUAAAAGCUGGAAUGAAAGGUUGAAUGAAAAAAAAAUUUUUUUUAAUUGAAUUAAUUAAAAUUUUAUUUUUAAGUUAAAAAGCUUAAAUUUUUAUUUUAGACGAGAAGACCCUAUAGAGUUUUAUAUUUAAUAUAUUAUAUUAAUUUAGAAUUCAUUUAAUAUAAUAUAUUAAAUAUUGAAUUGGGGUGAUUUAAAAAUUUAAUAAACUUUUUAUUUAUAUUUAUAUUGAUAUAUAAAUUUUUGAUCCUAAAUUUUAGAUUAUAAUAAUAAAUUACCUUAGGGAUAACAGCGUUAUUUUAAUAGAGAGUUCUUAUCGAAAUUAAAGUUUGCGACCUCGAUGUUGGAUUAAAA
rnacentral:rRNA from 1 species